rnacentral:rRNA from 1 species
AGUGAACGCUGGCGGUAGGCCUAACACAUGCAAGUCGAACGGCAGCACAGUAAGCGCUUGCUCUUACGGGUGGCGAGUGGCGGACGGGUGAGGAAUACAUCGGAAUCUACUUUUUCGUGGGGGAUAACGUAGGGAAACUUACGCUAAUACCGCAUACGACCUACGGGUGAAAGCAGGGGAUCUUCGGACCUUGCGCGAUUGAAUGAGCCGAUGUCGGAUUAGCUAGUUGGCGGGGUAAAGGCCCACCAAGGCGACGAUCCGUAGCUGGUCUGAGAGGAUGAUCAGCCACACUGGAACUGAGACACGGUCCAGAUUCCUACGGGAGGCAGCAGUGGGGAAUAUUGGACAAUGGGCGCAAGCCUGAUCCAGCCAUACCGCGUGGGUGAAGAAGGCCUUCGGGUUGUAAAGCCCUUUUGUUGGGAAAGAAAAGCAGCAGGUUAAUACCCCGCUGUUCUGACGGUACCCAAAGAAUAAGCACCGGCUAACUUCGUG